rnacentral:tRNA from 1 species
GGCACGGUGGUUCAGUGGUUAGAGCGCCCGCCUCAUGAACGGGAGGUUGUGGGUUCGAACCCCGGCCAAAUCA